rnacentral:tRNA from 1 species
GAUUAAAUGGGCUGAAGUUUAGCG